rnacentral:rRNA from 1 species
GGAAUCUUGGACAAUGGGGGCAACCCUGAUCCAGCGACGCCGCGUGGGUGAUGAAGGCCUUCGGGUUGUAAAGCCCUUUCACCGGGGACGAUGCUGACGGUACCCGGAGCAGAAGCACCGGCUAACUCCGUGCCAGCAGCCGCGGUAAGACGGAGGGUGCGAGCGUUGUUCGGAAUCACUGGGCGUAAAGGGCGCGUAGGCGGCCUGGGAAGUCGGCUGGUGAAAGCCCGGGGCUCAACCCCGGAGGUGCGGCCGAGACUCCUAGGCUCGAGGCCGGUAGAGGAGGGUGGAAUACCCAGUGUAGAGGUGAAAUUCGUAGAUAUUGGGUGGAACACCGGUGGCGAAAGCGGCUCUCUGGUCCGGUCCUGACGCUGAGGCGCGAAAGCGUGGGGAGCAAAC